CAGUCGCCACGGUAAUACGUAGGCGGCAAGCGUUGUCCGGAAUUAUUGGGCGUAAAGGGAGCGCAGGUGGGACGGUAAGUCCGUCUUAAAAGGCAGGGGCUCAGCCCCUGUAAGGGAUGGAAACUAUCGAUCUUGAGUGCCGGAGAGGAAAGCGGAAUUCCCAGUGUAGCGGUGAAAUGCGUAGAUAUUGGGAAGAACACCAGUGGCGAAGGCGGCUUUCUGGACGGCAACUGACACUGAGGCUCGAAAGCCAGGGGAGCGAACGGGAUUAGAUACCCCAGUAGUCCCUGUCUCUUAUACA
rnacentral:rRNA from 1 species